AAUAAAAUCCAUUUUACAAUCUUCAUUAUUCAGUACAUUCGUGGAACCCUCAUCUUCGUUAAUAACUCCAGUGGGUUCAUUGAAAAUUGUCUAACGGGUUCAUUGAGAUCCCGAUGGUGUUGAAUGCCAAUUUGAAAUUGACUCACGCUCAAACUCCGGUGCGUAAUAUUUCCUUUACUAUCCAGAAUUGUGGCUUUAUCGUGUUGAUCCAAUGGAGUUGAAGACAAACAUUGUUAGUGACAUUUCCAACAGUAAAAUGGCCAUGAUUUGCACUGUAUUCAUGUUUAAACAUGUUGAUGUCUUCAUGAUUUUAAUAUACUUACUUCACAAUGACCUUGAAAACAUGUCGAUGUCAUUUGAUGGUAAUAGAGUUGGGACGGACAUAGCUUCUUUACUGUUUAAACAUUGGCGGAUUAGGCAAGCCACAAAGCGAUGAAAAAAGAAGAAAGCUGAAUGAUUGAUGUGUUCAUUUUAUUUCAAAUUUAUUAGCUUGAUAGAUAGUAGUUGAUGUAAUAUGUGGACAAAACAUUCAAUAUAUAUGAAUAUGAAUUUUUUUUGUAUUGAUUAAUACAAUUCAUUAGUUUGUU